rnacentral:rRNA from 1 species
UGGGGAAUCUUGCACAAUGGGCGGAAGCCUGAUGCAGCGACGCCGCGUGGGGGAUGACGGCCUUCGGGUUGUAAACUCCUUUCGCCAGGGACGAAGCCGUGAGGUGACGGUACCUGGAUAAGAAGCACCGGCUAACUACGUUCCAGCAGCCGCGGUAAUACGUAGGGUGCGAGCGUUGUCCGGAAUUACUGGGCGUAAAGAGCUCGUAGGUGGUUUGUCGCGUCGUCUGUGAAAUUCCGGGGCUUAACUCCGGGCGUGCAGGCGAUACGGGCAUAACUUGAGUGCUGUAGGGGAGACUGGAAUUCCUGGUGUAGCGGUGAAAUGCGCAGAUAUCAGGAGGAACACCGAUGGCGAAGGCAGGUCUCUGGGCAGUAACUGACGCUGAGGAGCGAAAGCAUGGGUAGCGAACAGG